rnacentral:rRNA from 1 species
CACCUGAUCCCUUCCCGAACUCAGAAGUGAAACCUCUUAGCGCUGAUGGUAGUGUGGGGUUACCCAUGUGAGAGUAAGUCAUCGCCAGCUC